rnacentral:rRNA from 1 species
UUAAUGCAUACGGUGAAUGCCUUGGUCGAAAGUACCGAAGAAGGACGUACUAGGCGUGCGAUACGCUCUGGGGAGCUGCCUUGAAGCUUUGAUCCAGAGAUCUCCUAAUGGGGUAACCCAUCCCGAUUUAAUCGGGAUAUCUACCGCUGAAUACAUAAGCGGAUGAGGGGUACGCGCUGAACUGAAAUAUCUAAGUAAGCGCAGGAAAAGAAAACAAACGUUUAUUCCCUAAGUAGUGACGAGCGAAAUGGGAGGAGCCUAAACUAUACAUCAGUCCGAUACGCAAGUAUUGGACCGUAUAGGGUUGUAGGGGUUUUCAUAAGUGAUCCAUCAAAAGUAGUAGAAAGGACUGGAAAGUCCUACCAAAGAGAGUGAAAGUCUCGUAUACGACGCUCGAAGUGGCACGAAAACUACCUGAGUAGCUCAGGACACGUGUAAUCCUGGGUGAAUCUAGCAAGACCACUUGUUAAGGCUAAAUAUACUUUCGGACCGAUAGUGAACUAGUACCGUGAGGGAAAGGUGAAAAGAAGUGCGAAACGCACAGUGAAAUAGAAACUGAAACCGUAUGUUGACAAGCUGUGGAAGUCCGCAAGGACGACCGCGUGCCUAUUGAAGAAUGAACCGGUGAGUUAUUGAUUACGACAAGACUAAGCCACUAUGUGGCGUAAUCGGAGUGAAAGCAAGCCCUAACUGGGCGAAAAUUUCAGCCGUAAUCAUUAGACCCGAAACCAGGUGAGCUAUCCAUGAGCAGGGUGAACUCCGCCGAAAGGUGCGAGGGAGGCCCGAACCCAUUAGCGUAGAAAUGCUUCGGGAUGACUUGUGGUUAGUGGUGAUAUGCCUAACGAACCUGGAGAUAGCUGGUUCUCCCCGAAAUAUAUUUAGGUAUAGCCCUGUGUAAUAACAUGGGGGGUAGAGCUCUGGAUGGAUGCUUCGGUCGCAAGAUCGGAAAUCCAAUCAAACUUCAAAUACCCAUGUUUUGUAGCAGGAGUCAGUCCGACCGGGCUAAGCCGGGCGGGCCUAAGGGAAACAUCCCAGACUGACAGCUAAGGUCCCUAAAUCGUACUUAAGUGUUAAAGGAGGUCAUGAUCCUUAGACAGCCAGGAAGUUGGCUUAGAAGCAGCCAUCUUUUAAAGAAAGCGUAACAGCUCGCUGGUCUACUAUGGGUUGUGGCGCCGACAAUGAAUCGGGGCUAAAGUACGUACCGAAGCUACAGAUUUGCCAUUAAUUUAUUAGUGGUAAGUGGUAGGGGAGCGUUCUAAUUGCUGUGAAGCUUGACCCGUGAGGGCAGGUGGAGCGAUUAGAAGUGAGAAUGCCGGUAUGAGUAACGAAAUUGAUGUGAGAAACAUUAACGCCGAAUGCCCAAGGUUUCCGAUCCAAUGUUAAUCAGGGUCGGGUAAGUCGGUCCUAAGGAGAGGCCAGAGUGGCGUAUCCGAUGGACAACAGGCUAAUAUUCCUGUACUAUUUUUAGUUUGACAAGUUCUUUGAUUUAUCAAAGAAGCCAUUAAGAGGGGACAAAGUAGGAAAAACUCAGCUAUUUAAAGUCAUCCUUAGCCGUAAGGCAACGGAUGACGACAGAUAGUUUAAGCAUGCAAGUUAGUAGAGAUCGGCAAGUCCGUUUCUACAAGUCAUUCAAGAGCAAUCUUGAAUGAUUGAAAAAUACAAGCUGCGAUGACGAAAGUGAGCGAUUUCUGUUUUCGGGAAAAUCCUCGUAAAGGAAAUUAGAAGUAUCCGUACUACAAACCAACACAGGUGGGCGAGUUGAGUAUACACAGGCGAUCGAGAGAACUAUCCUUAAGGAACUCGGCAACAAAAGCUGGACGUAAGUUAGCAAGAUGUCCUACCCUAAGGCCGCAAGGUUUUGGGGUUGCAACAAAAGACGCUGAGCGACUGUUUAUCAAAAACACAGGUCCCUGCUAAAGCGAAAGCUGAUGUAUAGGGGCUGACACCUGCCCAGUGCCAGUAAUUUAAAACUUCACUUGACCUCAGGUAGCAAUACUUGGGCGAGGAUGGGGUCUAAGAUCUGGUGAACGGCAGCAGUAACUAUAACUGUUCUAUGGUGGAUUCGCCGCCUUAGAAGAAAGUAUGUGUUUUUGAAAUCUGACUAUAUGCUGGAAUAACUCAGUAUGCAACAGUACUAAUUUUCAAAAUUAUGCUAAUAAUUUUAAAGAAAGUCACAAUCUGUUUGCUGGAGUCAAUCAGCAGGGAAGAAUCCUGAUCUACAUCAGGAGAACCCUCAGAGACUACAUGUCAGACUAAACUGAAUUUAACUUUUCAGUUUGGAAGAUAUAGUCCGAACUACGUAGCGAUACGUAGAGGUGGAAAUUAACUCAUCCACGAAAGAGUAAGCAAUUACUCUGUUAACACACAAUUAAAGGAAUUGAGCGAAGUUCCUUGUCUGGUGAGUUCAGACCCGCACGAAAGGUAGAACGACUUAGCGACUGUCUUGAGGAUAGACUCGGUGAAAUUGCAGUGGCUGUGAAGAUGCGGCCUUCCCAUACUUGGACAAAAAGACCCCGUGGAGCUUUACUGGAGC